rnacentral:rRNA from 1 species
UACGGAGGGGGUUAGCGUUGUUCGGAAUGACUGGGCGUAAAGCGCGCGUAGGCGGAUCAGGAAGUUGGGGGUGAAAUCCCGGGGCUCAACCCCGGAAUGGCCUUCAAAACUCCUGGUCUUGAGUUCGAGAGAGGUGAGUGGAAUUCCGAGUGUAGAGGUGAAAUUCGUAGAUAUUGGGAAGAACACCGAUGGCGAAGGCAGCCAUCUGGACCGACACUGACGCUGAGGCGCGAAAGCGUGGGGAGCAAACAGG